rnacentral:rRNA from 1 species
AUUGAACGCUGGCGGCAGGCCUAACACAUGCAAGUCGAGCGGCAGCGGGACCUUCGGGUUGCCGGCGAGCGGCGGACGGGUGAGUAAUGCCUAGGAAUCUGCCUGUUAGUGGGGGAUAACGCGGGGAAACUCGCGCUAAUACCGCAUACGUCCUACGGGAGAAAGCGGGGGCUCUUCGGACCUCGCGCUAACAGAUGAGCCUAGGUCGGAUUAGCUAGUUGGUGGGGUAAUGGCUCACCAAGGCGACGAUCCGUAACUGGUCUGAGAGGAUGAUCAGUCGCACUGGAACUGAGACACGGUCCAGACUCCUACGGGAGGCAGCAGUGGGGAAUAUUGGACAAUGGGCGAAAGCCUGAUCCAGCCAUGCCGCGUGUGUGAGGAAGGUCUUCGGAUUGUAAAGCACUUUAAGUCGGGAGGAAGGGCUGUAGGUUAAUACCCUGCGGUUUUGACGUUACCGACAGAAUAAGCACCGGCUAACUUCGUGCCAGCCGCCGCCGUAA